GCCUUGAAUUCUAAAUACUACUACGAAAAAUGGAGCAUCUCUUCAUCUUGUUCCAAAAAUUUAUCAGAUCGAAAGUAUCGAUGGGACCAAGAAACGGGAAACAAAAAAGAAGAUAAAAUCGCCAAAAACAAGGAAACAACUGGUCGAUCAAAUGCGAAUACAAGGCGAUGAAACUGAUAUGAAUACACAUAUCUGCUCUGUUCUGAUUGGAUUAGUUGGGUACAUAUCACAACUCUUCGCCUACAUCCAUCUUGAUUACCAUAACUAAAUAAAAACAAACUAUAUAUGAUGCCGAUCAAAGGAGUAAAACUCAGCUAAUUACCUUGCUAAGGAUUGAGCAACGAUGGAAUCAGAGCAUGGUGGGAAAAGGAGACCUUUAAACUUUGGCACCAUCCACCGACGACAGUCCAAUGGUCUAAACUCCGCCCAUCUAGCAGCGGUAGACGACGUAGGAGUUCCGGCGGGGCUGAGGCCGGUGGCAGAGCAUGAAGAGCACCAGGGCGAUCAUCAUGGCCAGCAAGAAGCCCUUGGGGUCAAGCCCGCCGCCGCCGCCAUCGCUGGCCCCGUCGUCGUCGCCUUUGCCACCCAGGCAGCAGCAAGAUCCCGAUCCCAUGGCGUCCGCACCCGAUCGACGGAGCACCCCUUUACCGGAGGGCUUGUUCUCUGAAUCUUGUGAUGAGUGUGUUGCUUCGAGUAGGGAAAAAGUAGGGCAAAUGGCCGCUCAAGACUCAAAAAGGGGAGGAGGAUAUAAGCAAGGAAAGCACUUAUUUACUGCCAUCCAGGAGCACAGGUCCAACGAGACGAGGCCGGUCCAAGACGGCAAGAUUCAUAGGACAUAGGGCCCGCAUGUCAGAGGUGGAUUUCGUUUUGAUUUUUCGUUGAUUAUAUUCUCCAAGGUCUUUGAUCGUUGUUGGGAUGUCAUUUUCUCAGGGCACUGGAACUCUCCACUCGAAGAUUGUUUUCGCCGAAACUUCAG
rnacentral:lncRNA from 1 species